GACGAACGCUGGCGGCGUGCUUAACACAUGCAAGUCGAACGGAAAGGCCCUGCUUGCGGGGUACUCGAGUGGCGAACGGGUGAGUAACACGUGGGUGAUCUGCCCUGCACUUCGGGAUAAGCCUGGGAAACUGGGUCUAAUACCGGAUAGGAGCCAUUUUUAGUGUGAUGGUUGGAAAGUUUUUUCGGUGUAGGAUGAGCUCGCGGCCUAUCAGCUUGUUGGUGGGGUAAUGGCCUACCAAGGCGGCGACGGGUAGCCGGCCUGAGAGGGUGGACGGCCACAUUGGGACUGAGAUACGGCCCAGACUCCUACGGGAGGCAGCAGUGGGGAAUAUUGCACAAUGGGCGCAAGCCUGAUGCAGCGACGCCGCGGGGGGGAUGACGGCCUUCGGGUUGUAAACUCCUUUCGCUAGGGACGAAGCUUUUUGUGACGGUACCUAAAUAAGAAGCACCGGCUAACUACGUG
rnacentral:rRNA from 1 species